rnacentral:rRNA from 1 species
ACUCUGACACAGGUCCUGCAUGGCUGUCGUCAGCUCGUGCUGUGAAGUGUCGGGUUAAGUCCCUUAACGAGCGCAACCCCUAUCGUUAGUUACUAACGCGUUAUGGCGAGGACUCUAGCGAGACUGCCGGUGUCAAACCGGAGGAAGGUGGGGAUGACGUCAAGUCAGCAUGGCCCUUACGCCUAGGGAUGCAAACGUGCUACAAUGGUACAGACAAAGCGAUGCAAUACCGCGAGGUGGAGCAAAUCGCAAAAACUGUGCCCCAGUUCGGAUAGCAGGCUGAAAUUCGCCUGCUUGAAGCCGGAAUCGCUAGUAAUCGUAGAUCAGCUACGCUACGGUGAAUACGUUCCUGAGCCUUGUACACACCGCCCGUCAAGUCAUGGAAGCUGUUAGUGCCCGAAGUCACCUCGUUUCAGGGGUGCCUACGGCAAGAAUGGUGACUGGGACUAAGUCGUAACAAGGUAGCCGUACCGGAAGGUGCGGCUGGAACACCUCCUU